UCUGCAUAGGUUUAAUUGAUUAUUUCCUUGUUUGUUGAUUUCCUUGUGACUCAUUUUAAGUUAAAAAACUUUUCUCAUCUUUUCUGACCUGGUUCAUUCAUGGACCAUGAUUACAAAAUCUCGGAUCCUUAAUUUACUGGCUACUAAAUGAUUUCUCUUACCUUAUUUAUGUAAACUUGUAUUUCAAAGUUAUUCCCUUAAGUAAUCUCUUAUGUAUCUACCCCCAAUUGCCUACUUUACACAAGAUGUUUAUUUGAUUUUUUUCCUUAAACAGUUUUUACCGUUAAAUUCUGAAUUCCUUAAUAAAAGAAAGUUUUGUAUUGAUUGAAUUAAAUUGAUACUCCAGCUCAUUAAUUGUUUUCUUACCUUAUUUCUGCCUGUUUUCACACUAUAAAUACACGACUCUUUCAUUAGCACAAGGACAUCCUCACCCAUAGUCUUUCUGAAACUACUCUCACACGCAAUAGUAUUCUCUCUUAUUUGCUUGCAUUGUGGCCUGUUUACAAGACAUACUCCCUUUCUUUAUUGUGUUUCUUUGAAAUCACUAUGUCUUGAUUUAAGUUUCAGCACCACAACAAUGUGUUUAUUGCUUUUGUAUCCCUGUUUACUACUUAUGUAUAGUUCAAUACUCAUUCUAGCAUGCUGAUUUCUUUCUGCCUGUUUACUAUGAAUCACAAUCCCCCCAUGUGUUAAGCUAUGGUUUGAGAUAUGGCGAUACAAGUUACUGUCCAUGGAUCAAACCAGAUCAUCUGGGAUCCUAGCUUAUAAUAAUGUGAGUUUCUGGCAGGCUUACAAGUGUACUAGCACUCCCCAUUGCUAGGCAUGUCUAAAGUCUGCCUUUGCUUAAGCAGCAUACUGUGUGCAAUCUCCCUAUUCCCCUGUAACCCAUUAUGUGUGCUUAUUUGUAACUAGUUCCCACUCAUUUUCCCCUAUUAGCAUCAUGUUCUGCACUUGCACACUUUCUUAGUCUUAAGUUCUGCCCCCCUCUUGUGAG
rnacentral:lncRNA from 1 species